rnacentral:lncRNA from 1 species
UUUUUUUAAUUUUAGGAAAUAGUCCAGAAUAUUGUGGCAGCCAUCUUGUAUUCGGUGGGUUCAGCUUUUCUGAUUAUGCAUACUACGCUCUUCUUAUGGCCAAUGUAUAUUAUUAUUCCGUAUUUCCAGGCUUAUCCAGCUCUUAUGACGGCAGGGGUUUUUGGUUGUUUGUGUGGUUUCGUUCAUGCAAUUGACGGUUAUUGCGCCUUCCGAACAUUCCGAGGUAUUCGAUGAGUUUCCGAAUUUCUGCGAGCCUAAAUAUUCUAGUUGCCGAAGCAGACGAUAUAUUUAAGACAAACAUUCUAUCUAGCAUAUAAAAAACAAGGUUGAUGGUUUAAUUACCGGAAUGGCAGCCAUGACGUAGUUGUAUUGAAAUAAUGUAAAUAUUCCAUCGUCUAAACAUGUUUAAACAAUGAAGGUUAGAAUAGGUUUAAACUAAAAUGGUUUAAACUAAAUAAUAUGCGCAUAAAUAUUCAUGAUGAUAGAAGUAGAUAUUAGUUGAGUUAUUGGCAAGGCAAUAGAUAUCCGCGUGAGCAGUUCUUCGUAAAACUGAGUGAUCCCAAAUUAGAGCAACGUAAUAAUACAAAAUUUUGUGUGAAAAUUGAGAAAGCGCUAUUGAAGUGUUAGAAUUAUUAAAUAAAUGCGCAAGUACAUGGUGAAGAUGGCAUGGGAAAAUAAAAUGGUUAUCAGUAUCAAAUGAGAUUCAUAAAUAGGGAAUUAAAAUGACCCCAUAGAGGUCAAUGUUAAUAAAAUGCAAGAACGAUACUGUUGUGAAACUUCUAGUUGAAAUAUUAUGGUACCUUUAAAUUAGUUUUAAUGGAAGAAUUGUCAUAAAGAAGAUUUAUGCGUAGUUUUUAACUUUUAACUACUUGCAGUUAAAAGACAUACUGAUGGGAUGAAGCUAUUUUAAUGUCACCGAUAUCAAGCAGAAUGGAAAAGUUCUCAGCAGAAUUCUAUAAAAUAAAUUCCUGCUUUCAGAUACGGAAAAGCCAAAAAAUUCGAUAUAUGAAUGCACACAGGAAACAUUUUUUUAAAGUUUUAGUAAUCAAUAGCGUAUAAACCCAUAUUUUUUAAAGUUAAAUUCUGGGACUUAUAUUAUCGCAUCUUUUAAAAGUAGAACUCUAAUUACUUAAAUUACUAUAUUAUACAGUUUAAAAAAUUAAAUUUACUGAAUAUGAAAAUAAAACAUAAAUUGUCUUUACAUGUUUAGGUUAAAAUAACACUGAGAACAAACAUUAAUUUAGAAGUCAAACAACUUUGCACUUUGACAGCUGAGGAUGAUAGUUCGGUAAAACCAUCGAAACUAGUCCUGUGAAAAUUUGCAAAUAUAAUGCUGAUUUUUGUUGUUUGACUUCUGAAAUAAUAGCCUUACAUAUGUUUGAGAAAAACAAUUAUAAUAAGUAUUGCCUGUCGAAAAAUGGAUAAAGACGAAAUGGCAACUAAAAUAAAAUAUUGAAAAGUUUAAAAUGAAUGUAUCGUCUGCUUUGACUAUGGAAGUUAAUCGUUUACGUUAUUCCAUAAAAAGUGUUUAAUGGCAAGAAGAAAUUCUUGUUAGUAGCUCAACUGAGGAAUUAAUUCAGGAAUACUAAAUGAGGUAUUAUAAUGUGUUUAUUUUCGAUCUUUCGUUGCUUUCGUGUGUGAAAAUUGUGUUUUAGAAGUUAAAAAUGUGUAUGCAUGAAUCCAUGUUUAUUUGCUCAUAAAUUUGUACGGAUUUCUAUAUUAACUGAAAAUAAAAAAAAUUUUGAAAUA